UACCCAUGAUGUGGACAUUUCAGGAGUAGCCCAUUGAAUCGCUCCCAUGUUUCGAAAAACUGUUCGUCCUCACUCUGGGUAAAUUCUGAGAUUUCCCUGUGAAU
rfam:Citrus clementina cultivar Clemenules unplaced genomic scaffold scaffold_1, whole genome shotgun sequence.